AGGACGGGUCGUGUGUCAGUAUAUUUACUUCUUAGCUAUAUUGCACACUUCCCGGCCUUU
rnacentral:pre_miRNA from 1 species